ACCUGGGUGGCUCAGUAGGUUGAGCAUCUGACUUCGGCUCAGGUCAUGAUCUCACGGUUCGUGGGUUCAAGCCCCACAUCAGGUU
rnacentral:tRNA from 1 species